UACAGAGGUGCCAAGCGUUAGGCGGAAUCACUGGGCUUAAAGCGCGUGUAGGUGGACGGGUAAGUAUCUUGUGAAAUCCCACGGCUCAACCGUGGAACUGCUGGAUAUACUGGCUUGUCUUGAGGCACUUAGGGGCAGCUGGAACAAAUGGUGGAGCGGUGAAAUGGCGUAGAUAUCAUUUGGAACGCCAAAGGCGAAAGCAGGCUGCUGGGAGUGAUCUGACACUGAGACGCGAAAGCCAGGGGAGCAAACGGG
rnacentral:rRNA from 1 species